AGGCUGGCAGCACGGGAACGGCGGGGAUGGGGUCGGCUUGGGGCCCGGAGCAGUUGCAGCGCCGCCAGACCCCCUUGCAGCUCGCUGGAUAGCCCCCGCGCAGCAGCUUCAGGGGGCUCGAGCGCCUGACCCUCCAAGCUCUCCUCAUGGAUCCAGGGAGAGAAGCUCCUCCCAUGGACCUCAUGCCCAGCUCCUUCUUCCUCUCUCUCUAUCAUCUUGCUUCCCCCUACUUUCCCCUCCGAAUCUCACAUACGGGAGAUGCCAGGGCCACCGCCGCCGGUCACCAAGGCCCUCGCCCGGCGAGUAUGACGCCAAGGCGAUGUUGCCGUAUUGCCAGGGCCUCGAGGUUGGUUUUCAUCUCAUCGUUGUUGUAGGAGACUAUGAAAAAUAUCAGUUGAUGUUGUUUGGCACCGUGGCUGGCCACUUGUUUCUAGAUUAUAAAUGUUUCUGUUAUUGCUCAUAACUUCAUAUGUAGGCAAUGAAUGUGAAUCCCAACACAUGGACACAGAAAUUUCCAAAAUUGUCCAUUUAGCAGA